GAUCAUAUUCACUCCCCGUAAACCGAGACCUAUAGGGAGGAUAAAUUACGUCUCUCAUACCCACAGUGAAGGGAUUGUGGGAAUAUAAGUUUCG
rnacentral:ncRNA from 1 species